rnacentral:tRNA from 1 species
UUAAGGAUAAGCUAAAUAACUAAAGCUGUUGGGCUCAUAACCCAAAAAUGGAUCUUAUUACUCCUCCUUGAG